CCGGGGUGGGCUGAUGUUUUUGA
rnacentral:miRNA from 1 species